rnacentral:rRNA from 1 species
CAAUAGCGUAUAUUUAAGUUGUUGCAGUUAAAAAGCUCGUAGUUGGAUUUCGGGUGUGAACGACCGGUCCGUCUUUGAUGUGUACUGGUUGGUUGCGCCUUAUUGUCGAGGACGUGGUUCUAGCUUUCAUUAGCCGGGACACGGAGUCGGCAGCGUUACUUUGAGAAAAUUAGAGUGUUCAAAGCAGGCUAUCGCUCUGAAUACAUUAGCAUGGAAUAACACGAUAGGACUCUGGCCUAUCUUGUUGGUCUGUAGGACCGGAGUAAUGAUUAAGAGGGACAGUCGGGGGCAUUCGUAUUUCAUUGUCAGAGGUGAAAUUCUUGGAUUUAUGAAAGACGAACUACUGCGAAAGCAUUUGCCAAGGAUGUUUUCAUUAA